rnacentral:rRNA from 1 species
GGGCCCGCACAAGCGGUGGAGCAUGUGGUUUAAUUCGAUGCAACGCGAAGAACCUUACCAGGGUUUGACAUCCUGCGAAUCUCUUGGAAACGAGAGAGUGCCUUCGGGAGCGCAGUGACAGGUGGUGCAUGGCUGUCGUCAGCUCGUGUCGUGAGAUGUUGGGUUAAGUCCCGCAACGAGCGCAACCCACGUCUUUAGUUGCCAGCAUUUAGUUGGGCACUCUAGAGAGACUGCCGGUGAUAAACCGGAGGAAGGCGGGGAUGACGUCAAGUCCUCAUGGCCCUUACGGGUUGGGCUACACACGUGCUACAAUGGUAACUACAGAGGGCAGCGACUUAGCGAUAAGGAGCCAAUCCCAAAAAGUUAUCUCAGUUCGGAUUGCACUCUGCAACUCGAGUGCAUGAAGUUGGAAUCGCUAGUAAUCGUGGAUC